rnacentral:lncRNA from 1 species
AGACAGGCAGGCAGCUGCAUGAGAGGUGGAAAGAGAGAGAAAAUGACUGAGAUGAAAUCACCAACAACAGCUAUUGCAGGAAGAAAGGCACUGUUGGAUCUCAGCCACAGUACUUCUGCAACCUGGUUUGAAUGGGCCUGAUGGGAUGCCAUAAUGGAACCUACACCGAACAAGGUGCGUCUAUCUCAUCUCCUCAGGCAUUCUUGUCAUGGCCACUUGAGAGCCUGGUGAGGAAGAGCAGUGACUGGAAGAGACCAGGUGAAAAACAGACGGAUGGCUUGGAGAUUUAGCCCUCUGCUGGUUCUGUACUUCUGCAACAGAAGAACUUCUGCAACAGCUGAACUUCCAGUAGAUCUGAGCACUGUCCAUAAUAAUAUCAGAUUUCUUGGUUGCCUAACAGGCCAGCUUACUGCUGCCCGAGAAAUACUGCUAGGAAGUCAAGGCUAAGUAUUGUUAACAACAGUGGGGUUAUGACCUGGAAACAUAGUGGAGAAACUGAAUGGGCUAGUAGUGAAAAUGUAUGUAGCAGUUGAAAAGAUGGCAGUACCGGUGUGUGUGUAGAUCUAUAUGUAUUUGGAUAUAGAUAAACCAGAAUCUACAUUAAGGGAAUGUCACAAACACUACAAAUUCAAGGACUCAAAUAUAGUUCAGUUCAACCUUUGAACAAGGGUAAAAAAGGAUUUGAGAUAUUCUCUGUGCACUUGAAGUAGCUAGCAACAACAUGAUGGCAGUUCUAAGUAAAGGGCUUUAAUCAGAGUAUAUAAAAAGACUGGAAGGAUGUUUGAACAACAUGUCCAGCUCCCAAGCAUUGUCUCUUUCCUGCUAUCAGUGACACCCAUUGUGCAAUAACAACAUUUGCACAGAGAUGCGUCCUGCUUUGCAGAGAGAGAAUAUACUGAAGCAGCCAUAGGGCUGUGCUAGCCUUGGCUAGAAGAGUCCCCAAGGGCCUGUCUGCCAGCUGCUGACUGAUGUAGAGCUGCUGCUGCUGAUAAUAGGGUACAUGCUCCAACUCCAAGCUGAACUAGACAAUCCUGGGCACAGUCAGAUGUGCUCACAGGGAUCAAGUUCAAGCCUGUUUAAGGAGUUAGUUCCCGUCAGUGCUGAUUUAAGCUAAGGAGUUUUGCUGUGUAUUGGAAAGGACUAGGAAUGCUCACAGAGUCAGCUACUUCAUCUUGGCUGUCAUAGUGGUGAUUUCAACAGAGCCAGGGGAGUCGGAAAGACAACAAACAGCUGAGAUCUGUAACUUCUUAAAUCAUGCAGACACAAGCUGCAAAAGGUGUAUUUCCAUUAGAUGUAUGCCUGCUUGUACGUACUAAAACUAUGCUUUUUCAAAAUAGUUUAGGCAAGAGGUGCCUAAACUUCUUUACCUAAACUUUCUUUGAAACUUCUUCAUUCCACACUGGAAGUGGUUGGUGGUGGUUGAACAUUGCUGAUAUAUUCAGGCGUG